AUUGAACGCUGGCGGCAUGCCUUACACAUGCAAGUCGAACGGUAACAGGUCUUCGGACGCUGACGAGUGGCGAACGGGUGAGUAAUGCAUCGGAACGUGCCCAGUCGUGGGGGAUAACUGCUCGAAAGAGCAGCUAAUACCGCAUACGACCUGAGGGUGAAAGCGGGGGACCGUAAGGCCUCGCGCGAUUGGAGCGGCCGAUGUCAGAUUAGCUAGUUGGUGGGGUAAAGGCCUACCAAGGCAACGAUCUGUAGUUGGUCUGAGAGGACGACCAGCCACACUGGGACUGAGACACGGCCCAGACUCCUACGGGAGGCAGCAGUGGGGAAUUUUGGACAAUGGGCGCAAGCCCUGAUCCAGCAAUGCCGCGUGCAGGAAAGAAGGGCCUUUCGGGUUGUAAAACUGCUUUUGU
rnacentral:rRNA from 1 species